rnacentral:snoRNA from 1 species
GUUGAGGUCUAUCCCGACCUGUAAACCUACAUCGUUGGAAACGCCUCAUAGAUUAAUUGUGGUUUCCUUUACUCAUAGAACUACCUGUUAGAUCUGUGGGAAAGAACUACAAGACAGAG